CGAAAGUCGGACUAAUACCGUAUGAUAUCCUAUGCAGGCAUCUAACUAGGAUUAAGGUUUAGCGGUAAGGGAUGGGGAUGCGUCUGAUUAGGCAGUUGGCGGGGUAACGGCCCACCAAACCGACGAUCAGUAGGGGUUCUGAGAGGAAGGUCCCCCACAUUGGAACUGAGACACGGUCCAAACUCCUACGGGAGGCAGCAGCG
rnacentral:rRNA from 1 species